GUUGUGUUUGGUACGGGAACUGAAUCCAGGGGUGCUCUACCACUGACCUACACCCCAACCCUCCCCUUUCUGAUAUUUUUGUUUUAGUCAUGGGUGGACACAGUACCUCUGGUGCUGAGGAUGGAACCCAAGGCCUCACGCAUGCUAGGUGAGCGCUCUACCACUGAGCCCUGACCCCAGCCCUCUCUAAGAAUGUGGCGUGCCUUGCUACGUUGCCAAGGCUGCAACACUCCUGCCCCAGCCUUCUGAGUCGCUGGGGUCACAGGUGGGCACCACUGCACCCUGCUGGGAGUAGUCAGUUUUGAGAAUAAUUAGGUUUUUUAACCCUGUGGAUGUAACGUGGACUUGACGGAUUGGAGCAGCAGGUGGCUGCCCAGGUGUGUUUGGAGCUGGAGGCCUGUGCUCCCCUGCCCAGGAGUGACCUUCAGCAAGGGGCGUCCAGUGUUCAGGGACCUCACCACAUCCAGCCCACAGCUCCUUGGCUAGUACAGAAGCCCUCGUGUUCCUGGUGCACUACUGCCCUGGGGACGCCUGCCCACGGCCCACAUAGUCCUGUGGGUAGAGGGUGCUGUCAGCUCAGGUGGGUGGCUGCCUGCAGGGGGCCUCUUGGGAUAGAGGGAUCACCCUUCACUUGUUGCCCUGUGCUCUUUGGACAUAAUCAUCACUUGGAUUUGGGCUUCCCUGUAACCUGUCUGCCCUGUGUGAUCCCUGACCAGGUGACGUCCACAGCAGGGGAGAUUCCCUUCCUGGGCCCUUAUUCCUUCUUAUCAUGCCACCAUAAGACUACCGGGAGUAGUUGCCCAUCAGCUCCUGCCAACUGCCCCCUUCUCCUAAGGGUAGCCUUUCCAGGGCCACUGAGUGUGGCUGGACUCUGCAGCUCUUCUGGCUGUGCCCCAGUCCCCUGGGUACUCGUCCUGAGAGUGAGAGUCGGGGUUCCUUCUCCGCAAACCCACGCUCACUCGGGCAGGACACAUGGGCCCAAGUGCCCUGCUGGUGGUGAGUGCAGGGCAGCAUGUGGGUUCUGGAGGCACCGACACUCCCUUGGAGCCUUUUCCCGAUGCUUGAGGCCCCAGGACUCCCUUCAGCACCAGCGCAGGGUAAGUUCUAAAGGCUCCACCCCUGCGGGAUACUCGAUGGCAGACGGGGGAUUCCAUCUGUCACCAACUUUGGGGUGCCCUUAGAAAGUCCUGGCCUGCAGGAAACGUGGGGCACUGGGCUGCAAAACCCGCCACCCACCCCCAGGAAUUUAAGCCAUUUUCUGCCCCAGAGACUGAACCCAGGGCUGCAUGGGCACUCUGCUGGGCCCUCGGUCCUUGCGCUCUGGGGAGGUCUCCGGGGUGGGGCAGCAUUGGUUCACCACGAGGCGGAGCGCCCUCGUGAGCACUGCCAGGCACCAGCUCCUGUCUGACCUCAAUUGCGCAGCAUGACGCCUGCGGAGAAGCAGGCAGAGGCCGUGGCUGCAGCCACGAAGGGUAGGUGGCCGCCCUGGAGCAGCUGCUCCCAGCUGCCUCCUGAGGUGUCCCUGUGUCACCUGUCUGUUGCCCAUCUGUCCAUGGGCCCUGGAACUUCCAUGGAAGUUGUCUCCUAGGGAGGCUGCACCCUCCUGGUUCUCUGGGACCAGCAGGCAGCCACCCUCUCAGGUUGGCCAGUAGGGGCCUGUGCCUGGCCUUCCAGCUCAGAAUGUUCCUGCCCACCCCAAGGCUCAGACCCCUGUGGGAGCUGCACCACAGGCUGUGGAGGCCUAACCAGCACCUGGCUUUCCAAGGAGAGCCAGCCCCAUGGCACGGAGAAGAGCCGGCUCAGGAUGGGAUGAUGUCCUGUGCACUCUGGUGGUGGCUGGAUUCACCGUGUUCUCUGGCACGUUACAUGCGCUGUGGGGAGGCUUCCGAGCGUCUUGUCUCCUGGCGAGGCUCCGGAGGGUGGCAGGGGCUUGGGGGCCCUGCCUUGUGUGGAACUGUUGAGGGAGGAAGACGUCGGGGCCGGGCUUGGGCCUCCCUAGUGCAGAGCCCUUGAGAAGGUAUGGAGGCUGGUCUGAGGAUUCUGAUUCCCCAGCACUGGGCUCAGGGGCAUACUGUCCCCUCGUCCACCAGCCUCUGACCUCUGCAGGCCACCAGUUCGGCUGGUGACUUGUGCUAAGACCUUAGUGUCAGGUCCCUUCCUGACCCUGGUGGCUCCAGCUGCACACUGUCUUAGCCACCCCUUUGACCUCUGCUUUGAAAGGCUGCCUUUCUCCAUUCUGAGCACAGUGCAAGCAGCUCCAGGGAGUGGCCUAGAGGCAUAGGCUUAGUGUGGGACAGGAAGGCCACCACCAGCAGUAACUAGGGCUCCACACCUGGAAAGACACCAGUACUACGGCUGGAAAACUCCCACAGCCCCUGUCUGGCAGCUUCCAUCUCAGAGUGCGUUCAGAGCUUGCCAGGUGUGGGCUAAAGCACUUUGCUACAUAAACUGCACCCUGCUCACCUCUACUUCCGGAGGCCUGCACUUGGCUCCCUGAACCCUUCUUUUGGUUCUGGGGAUUGAACCUUUGACACUGAGGCACACCCCCAGCCCUUUUUAUUUUUGAGACAAGAUGUCCAGGCUGGCCUCCAGCUUGGUGACUCCUGCCUCAGCCUCCCGAGUCGCUGGGAUUACAGGUAUGCGACACUGCACCUGGCUUAUGCUUUAGCUUUCCUAGCAGUUUCUUGUAAGCUGAAUUCCAUGGAACCAUGCAGGCUCUUGCCAGAAGGGAUGCGGACAGACAGGGACAUUCACUGAGGCUAGAGUUCUGGCAUGGACUUCCCCUCACUGACCUGAUGGUGUGUGGGCUGGUACUGCAUAUGUGACCAGAACUGAGCCCUUAUCAGCUGAUGUAAAUUUUAUUCUCCAACAAAUGGCACAUUUUCUAGGCAUCCUGGUCCUCACCUGGAAGGUCAGACCUUGGUGUGGUGCCUACUUCUGUGGGAACACCGUCUCUCCCCAGGGGCCUGCCUGGUCUGGGCCAGGGCAGCCCAUGAGCUCAGGGCCUUACCACCAGAUUCUGGGUGAGAAGCCCUUAUCCUUUCCUCAGUGCUGGCUUUGCUGACCUGCUGGGGCCGGAGCCCCAAUUACACCUCUGUCUGCAGAUUGCUCCCUGGGGCCUGAUCCUCAGCCCCACCUUGGGCUUGGCCUGCUCGCUGCCCGCUGGUCUUCCCGGCACACAACUUCAGGGUGGAUCAAUCACCCAACGUCAGAUUCUUAAAAAAGAAAAAGGCCCUGGUGAGACGGGAGAGGAAGACAGGUGGGACAGGUACCCUGCACGGAUGCGGCCAGAGCAGCCCUGGCUGGCAGACUCACCAUCCUUCCUGGCUACGGCUCCCGCCACUUCUUCCCAUUGAGCACCUGCAGCUUCUCCAGGCUCUGGGUCACUGAGCACAGUGCUCGUCCUGAGGAGGUGACAGGGCAGUCUGUGCUCUGCAGCAGGGAGGAAGGGGAACUGGGGACACCAGGAAUUGACAACCUUAAGCUUCUCUUGCCGAGGCUGAGGCACAUGAACUGACAGGGCAUGGCCUGCCCCACAGCAGUAAUACCCCAGCCACAAGGCCGGCUUUAGGGUGGAGAUGCUUAAACCCGCUUUCCCUGGGAAGGGCUCCCUCUGCCUCCCUCCCACCAAAGUCUGGUGCCCAGGUGGGGCGAGGCCUUGCUGCCCUUGUGAAGACUCACCCAUCUCAUGGACACAGUCUUCCAGGGCUCCUGACAGCUCAGGGAGGCUCAUGGCCUGCAGGGAUGCAUGCCAGCCUUUGGAGUCUGUAAUACAGAGGGCUGUGAUGUUCCGGGGUGUGUCCCCACAGGCUCUGCGUUUGUUCUGAGCUCUAAUGACCAGGAGACCCUCCUUACCCAACUGCUGUUAUGAGAGUAAUCCCCAAAGGCUGAGGCAGGGGUGCCCUGUGCCUGUCAUGUACCUCCCAAAUUGGGAGUCCAUGAGACUUUUUCGAAAGACCCAUGACCUCCCACUUGCUGACUGAAGCACUAAUUGCUGGUUGGGAGGUGGGACCAGCUUAGGACCCAGGUGGAGUGCAGAAGUCACUAGAGGGUUUGAACAACCCAUUGGCCACAAAGGGGCCUUUCUCAAUACUGCACUGACUGCGCCUCCUCCCAACAGGGGAUGGGCAUCCCCCUCAGCAGUGAGAAAGUUCUCUGGAGAACCGUUUCCAGGACAUCAGCAUGCUGCGGGACCUAGGUGGGUAAGCUGCUGCUGUGAAAGCCACCGAAAGAUUGCAGGAUGAACCCCGGUUUGGGGGAUUCCUUGCCUACCCCUCUGCCCCACCGUAGAGGCAAGCUGCUGCUGUCUCCUUACCUGCCAGUGGGCAGUCUGGGUCCAGGGUGGUCGCACUAUACGGCUGGUCCUGCCUCAUUCGGGCUGACAGCUCAGCUUGACAGGCUCUGCCAGACGCAAAACCAGAUGCUAGUGAGGCAGAGGCCUCCCCCAAAGCCUCUCUACCCUAACCCCAAGGGUAAGGAGAGCUGUCCUGUCCCCCCAGCUGUUGGCAAGCACCCCAGGAAAGCCACACUGCUGAGCAGGAGAGAAACAGCCCCUCUUGCUACCUGGGUCUACCCUGCUGAAGCCAGAGCCAAAGCAGAACAGGUGGGGACACUAAGUAACCUGGGCCUGAAACCCGCCCCUGGCUUAAAGAAUUAGGAAGGGGUGAUGGCUGGCACCAACGCCCCCCAAGAGCAAGCUCCUCUGCAGUCUGGCAGACAGAUGAAAGGACCUGCCCCAGGGACACUCUGAGCCCACUCACCGCAGCUGCUCCAAGACAAGGCCAGCGCCCUGGGCCAGCGCCCAGGUCUCCUGCAGCUGGGUGUGGAUGUCUUUACGGGCACCAUCCUGCUCCAACAGGCAGCUCUCCACCACUGCCCGCAACUCCUGCUCCUGGGACACCUGACCACGCAUGGCCUCCACCUCCUCGCAGCGCUGCAGGGAGAGAGCUGAGGCUGGAGGGGCGAAGCAAGAGGGAGCAGAGGCCCCUGGGGCUUGGGCAGGGCUUCCCUAUGGGGCCUGGGCCUGGGCCUGGGCCUGAGCCUGUCUGCAUCUCUGAGCUGCUGGGCAUGGCUCCCUUGGUCCCUCCGUUUACAACCCUAGUUUCCUCAGAGCUGCCUGUCCUUUGGUCCUCACCCUUAGUGGCUCUUCUCUCCUUGUGUCCACCUGACCUCCUCCCUUCCACGUCUCCUCGGAACCUCCUGCCUGUGUGGCAGCAUCCACUUGUGUGUCUGGUGGCUUCCCCUGGUUGACGCUGGGUCCUGCCCCGCCCCCUGCCCAUGCCCAGGGUGCGACCUAGGCACUGCUCGGCCACGCUGGCACACACCCUCUCCCUGCUCCCCCUGCCUUGUGCAGCUGGAUGGCGAGCUCCUGCAUCUCCGCCUCCAGCCGGUCAGCAUAGGCCAGCUCCAGGGCAUCGCUUGGGGGGCGGGCACUGCUGUGCCAGCGGGCAAUGGCAGAGGUCAUCUUCCUUUUGGGCCCAAACAACCUGCAGGGGUCAGAGAAGGAUGCACGUCAGCACGUGCUACACUCACACGGACUCCACGAGCCAACCUGCUGCCAAGGCCGUCCCCUAGGGAACUCUUGGCUCUGAAGGAUCGCCCUGGGACCCUGGGGCAGAGUACAGAAACAGCUUCCAAAAGUCUCUGCUGCUGGUCCCCCUGUGGAUAAGAGUGUCUAUCUGCUCAUGAAACUCUCAGAAGUGAGCCCAGAGGAUUCCAGGUCACCAGCAAUCUGUCUCCCCACUCAGACACCUGUACUGGCAUAAUGUGAGUAGCUGUCUUGGAGCUCUGGAGCUACAGAAGGCCCUGUGCCAAGUGCAGUCAGUUUAAGUUCAUCUCCUAGCACAAUGGCAAUUACCCAGGCCCAGCCUCUUACCCCUGCAGCUAACAGCAACCAGGGUGGGCAGUGCAGAUCCUGUCCUCCAAAGAUCAGAGACGUGGAGGCCAUGGCCAUGCUGCAAGCCCUGACCCACAAGCUGGCUAAAGUGACUCCCAAGGGGCUUUAAAGGGUGGUACCUUCUUGUUUUUCUGUUAGUCAGUUAAAACUAGGACAUUCAAAAGCAACUUCAUGUACAAGAAAAACAAGAAAAUCACUACAUAUACCUACAAGGUGGCACAGGCUCAGAAAAAGCCUGAGAAGCCCACAGCAAAAAAAGUAACAAAAACAGCUAACAAGGAAUAUUUCCAAAGUUACCACGAUAUGAGACUCAAAUGUCUUGUUUCGAAUGACAAAAAAAAAAACACAGGACAAAGACAAUAAAAAACCAAGACACCGUCCCUGAAUGAAACCUGACAUAUUCUACUAGACAAAGACUUUUGAACAACUAUCUUAAAGAUGCUCAGCGGUCUAAGCUAAAAGAUGUAGAAGUCAAAACAAAAUAAAACUAUUAACAGAGAAACUGAAAAAGAGACGAGCAGAAAAGCACAAUAACUGCGAUAAUAAAUUCACUGGAGGGAUUCAAAGGCAGAUUCGAGCAAUGGAAAUCAUUUAAUCUGAGAAACAAAAAAGACUGAAGGAAGGUGAAGAGAGGCUGUGAGACACCAUCCGGGUGCCCACAUUCACACCGCGGGAGUCCCAGGAGAGAGGAAGGCGACAGGAGAGCAUCUGAAGAACUAAUGGCUGAAACAUUCCAAACUUGAUCACAGACGCGAGUAAACAUCCAAGAAGGUCCGUGUGCUACACCCGGUGACACCAAGACACGCACUCUCAGAAGGCAGAUCCUGGAAGCAGCAAAAGUGAAGCAGCUCACCCACCAUACAUAAGAGAUCCUCAAUAGAAUCACCGUCAGGUGUCUCACCACAAAUCCGGAGGCCACCAGGCUGCUAUAUUUGAAGUGCCAAAGGAGAAAACAGGCAGCCAAGAAUCCUUUAUCUGAAAAACUCCUUUAAAAGUGAGGGGAAAAUUAAGACAUUCUGAGAUAAGUAAAAGUGGAGGGAAGAAGUAAAAGUGGAGGGACCUUCCUUCAAGGAAGACUCAGGGAGUCCUGCAGGGAAGCCAAGGACACGAGGCAAUGCCCGACAUGUGAGGAUAUAAAGAGCUCAAGCAGACAGCCCUGAUGCCAGAGUGGACGAGGAACAAGAGCGCUUCACUCACAGGAAUGAGGCGCUUCAAGAUACAAACUUCACCUGGAUGCACAAAGGAUGUUUCAAGACAAAAGACCUAAAUUAUUUGGCUUUUAUCUUAAAACAUUUCAUAUCCAAGCUCUUGAAAAAUAAGCCCAUGCUAUAAAUUACUACCUCUAGUGGAAAUGUGACAAUUAUUUGUACAAUUCUUAAUGUUCUGAUCAUUAGAAAAGUAAUAAAACCCUAAAUACAAAAUAAAAAUAAUAAUAAUUACCAAAGCUGGCAGAUAACAUCCAAGGGCCUUACAUAUAGGGGUAUCAUAGGGCCAUUGAGGGAGCAUAGGGCCAUUUGAGCAAGAGGGAAAGAGGACUCUGGAAGCAGAAGUCUAGUGUUGACGGUAGUUCUCUGCCUGCUGGGCUGAGUGCCAGGAAGCAAGAUGUAACCUGGUCCCAGAGUGUUUAGCUGAAACAAGGGGUCAGGGUCAGAAGUGGCCCUUAGGACUCACGUGAUGCCAAUCUCCUUCAGGUCGCUCUCGGUGAGGGUCAGGAAGAUGCGGAGGUCCACAUCCUGCUCCUCAAACACCUGCAGGUACUUCAGACAGCCAAUCUGCUCCAGCAGUGCUGCAAGGUCCUAAAGGGCCAAAGUGACAAGCAGGAGCAGAAGCUGGGGACAGGACCUGUUAGUGCCAGGCAGAACCACGCUCCUCCUUGCCCAACACACUUCCCUCAAGAUGCAACCUGGUCUGAAUCCAAUGAAUCCCCAAACUCAGCUCCAGGACAACUUGUCUGUGGGCGGAGUCCCACCCCCUGGCGUGCAGACCCUUGCUCUCGGGGUCUGGGAAGGCUAGGCUGCUCCUUACACAGCCUCCAUUCUGCCGUCCUGCAUAACACUGCACGUUGGUGUGCCUGACGCAUCAGAGGUUUCUGUUCAUAGCUCUUCGUUCUUGUUCCUCAGACAGCCUUUGUCAAUCUGCUGAUUCUUCUGCCUGCUCUAAUCUGCUACUGAACUCAGCUAGUGAAAUUUUAUUUCAGUUGCACUUUUCAACUCCAGAAUUUCUAUUUUGCAAGUUUCUGUUGCUCUGAAUGGAGGACCAAAGUUUCCAAGGUGGUGCUCCACCAUUUCCUAAAGACACAGACCUAAAGAUCCCACAGGACCAUCAACUCUCCAAUCAACGUGUGUGUGAGAACUGGAGGUGCACCAGGCCCCGGGGGACUCUGGAUGGCGCCAGCAAGGCUGCUGCACAGGGUAAUCCCUAGCUUGCUCCACAGGUGGCUGCUGCGCUUUUCAUCCUGUCCCGUCCUGCUGCCCCCACUGCACACACAUCUUGUCACUGACUUCUGGAAGCAGCUCUGAAUCUGUUCCCCAAGGCUGGGGAGGCCAAGUUGAUGUGGACGCUACGGGGAGAGAGUGCUCCUUUCCAGUGAAGAGGGGUGAAGAACGCUCCAUCUAGGCCGCUGACCGUCAGGGAGGUCAUCUGGGGAAAACCCACCAGCACUGUCCUCAACAGAGCCUGGCCUGUCACGUACGGAGAAGUGCCUCUCGGAUCACGAAGUGCUGCACUUCUCAGAGCGUAUCACCAGAUUCACAAGGUCUUACCUGGGGUCCUGUAUAGGAUGACCUCUCAGCUUGGGGCACAAAUCUUGGGGAACAGGAAGCUCCACAAGUCCCAGAGCAGGGAGGCCACUGGAUGUCGCCGGUGCUGUAACGAUUCUUGGUUUUCACAUAACUUUUGGUUUGUCUGCGAACAGAGCUUUUACGGACAUGAUCCGAAUCCUGUAGCAAGAAGUGUGUGUUGGGAGCAACUCCGCCCACGGGCCACAGCAGUGCCCUGCUCCCAGCCCCUCGGGCUUAGCGGUGCUCUCUGGACCUUUGCUGUGGCCUUAUAGGACAGGUCAGACCCGAAGCGCUGCCUCGAAUGCCCGCUGGCCUCACAGAGGCCUCCUGGGUGUGGAGGGGGCAGGCCAGGCAGUGCCUUUGGAGCACAGCAUAGACAUGCACUGAACACGUGUCAUCAGACUUGCUCAUCCCAAAUGGACUGUGAGGCACCCCAGGACCCUGAGGGAAGGAAGCAAGAUGGGGACAGGGAGACCUCACCUCAUUGCUCUCCAAGGAGGCUUCACUGCUGAGCCCCUGGGCUCUCGCCAGGCCCUCACUGCUGCUGCUUCGCACGGCCCCGAGGCUGGCACAGAAAGCAGGUUCCUCUGGUAAUGAGAAGACAGGAUGCCUGAGAGGCCUCACUGGUGGGGGCGGAGGGAACUCCCCAGAGCCUGACUGAGCUGGGUCAGCCAGCUCUCAAACUCCUGCCACGCUGAGCGCUGCUUCUGUUUCAUGCUGUGCAUCCUAAGGCACCCCUAUAAGGAUGGGCAGAUACUCGUCUUUUUUGUGCACUGAUAAAUCCCAAGCACCUAGAACAGCGCCAACUAAACACGUCUCCCCGCUGGAGAAUGGCUGUGAGGGCAUUCUAGCACCAGACUACAUGGGGACUCUGUUCCAGAAGCUCCUCCUCACCUGCCCCAGAGCAGACUCUGGUUCUCAUAAGAACCAGGGCCAUCUAUAUCUCAUUCUCAAGGGGAGCCCAGCAGGAUGGGUAGGGAGGUGUACCCCGGCUGCUGCUGCUGCUGCUUUCCACGUCCCGCUCAUUGAUGGGGGAGGUAACGUCCCGGUAGCAGAGGCCCUCGCCUUGCAGGGGGUUCUCGUCGCUGCUGGUGAAGGUCAUGUAGCCCCGUGGCGGCACCUGCUCUGUGUACAGACGGGGCAACAAACCCACAUGAGUGCAAGAGUGAAGACAGGCCCCUGUGCCAGAGGCAUCGCCUCAGUGGUUCUCAGGGUCAGGGACCAGGAUUCAGGCGGCAGGAGGGGACCUGUGGCCCUGGCUGUGGCUGUCAUCUGUGGUUUGCGGUGAGGAAAGAGGCUAUGUGGAGUGGACCCAGUGGCCAGAGCCUCUACUGUGCCCUCACUGCUGCUUUCUCAAGGGGAACAGUGAGAAAAGCCUCACCAGUAGGCAUCCCUACUAGCUGGGAACACCCAAUAACGUCCUCAGACCCACACGCAGCCCCUGCACCACGUGGUGUCCCCUGCGGCUUCUUUAAACAUGGGCAUUUAGAAGCCAUCAGUUCCCCUGAGUCAGUCAAGUCCAGUUAAAAGGAUACCUGGCUGAAAAAAGGAGAAAAAAGACCCUCGGCUAAGAACUAACAGCAGUGAUGCAAACCAGGACCCUGGAGCACACAGGUCCACUGGGCGGCAUGAGCACAUCUCUCAAAAACAGGAUCCAACCUCAAGAUGGAGCACAGCAGUCUUCGCUGGCCAGGAGGCAAAUUCACCUCCAGCCAGGGGAUGUAGGCAGUCAGGGAAGGCUCUUUACACUGUCCCUCCACUGUGGACACACUCAGUGACUGAAAUGGGAACUUAGCUUCACUUCCACAGUAAAAGAAAAAGUUCUAGUUUUACCCAAUGAAAAGGAGAUGAACCUGAACCCAAGAGCUAACCAGUGACCCACAUCCUCAUCACUGGGAGCAAUUCUGAAUCUCUCUGAGCAUCACCCACAGCAGCCUGAGGUCAGAGUUUAAGAGCUGUCCCAUCCCUGUCAAGACAGAGGCCAGAGAAGCAACACCAAGAGUCCUCUGGAAGCGUGGACUGCUCACCACAGCGGGGCUGCGGGGCCUCGCCUCCUCGUCCAGCUGCUGUGAUCCUGGCCAGGGCUCGCGGGCCCUCGUGGAUGCUGAGGCCCUUCUUGCGACAGGGCCUCUGUCUCUGAGCAACAGGCAUCCGGGCUGUGGCUCCACUAUGAUCUCUUGUGUCCACUCUGACUCCCUGUGAAGGCCGAUGAAGGAGAGUCAGGAAGCCCCCCUCAGAGUCCCUGCGCUCCCUGUGCUGCUGGAGGAUGAGAAGACAAGGUCUGCAGGCUCUGGAUCACUCCCAAGUGGGAGAGACACCACACAACAGGGGGAAGGAGAUGCACUUGACCAACUGUUCCAAGUUUUGCUCUCACUCUCUUCUUAACCACAAGAGAGAGGCUUUGUGGUCAUGUCACCAGGAGUAGUCACCAAGCCACCUCACAGCUGCAGUGACUCUCCCCUGCCAGGUUUAUAAUCUUGCUUGGCAGAUGCAGAAUGGAGAGGGGCUGUGGCACUUCAGGGGGGAAGCGGAAGGGAGAGGCUGGCAGCCACCACACAGAGGACCCCACCUCCACCCUCUGCGCCCAGCUGAAUCUGGCUCGCUCCACUUCUUACGCAGAGAUGCUGGUUCACGAGACAAGCAGCCUUUUAGAGAGGUCUCAGAACAAGGCACCACCCUCUGAAACCGAACUUCACACCUCGCAUCCAAGCUCUAAAAUGUACUUAAAGUCUUCAGCACAGAGUUCACCUGUGUGACUCUAUCCUAAGGACCCCAAAUACAGAGUUUGUGCUCAGCACAAAAAGCUGUGUGACGGGAGCCGCAGGUGAGAAUGCCCGACACUGCCCUCAGUGGAGACAGUCCCUCACAGCUGGUCCAGCCACGGUCAGCAAGAAUCAGGCCAGGAAACCACAUGAGCAGCACAACCAUAGAGACACGCAAUGCCAGGGCAAGAAAGCAUCACCAGGAGGAAAUAGGCGGAAGAAAACAUUAGCCGUUUUUAAAGCAGGAAGAUGAUGAGGAUUGUUCUAAUCUUCCUAAUUCUCUAUUUUCUAAAUGAACUACAUAAGCUUGUUUACUUUUUAAAUUGGGAAAGUCCAGUACAUUUUCUACUUUAAAAGCUUGUCAAGAGAGGUGUGGUGGCACACACCUAUAAUCCUAGCUACUCAGGAGACUGAGGCAGGAGGAUCUCCAGUUUGAGGCAAGCCUAGGCAACGCAGUGAGACCCUGUCUCAAAAUAACACCCAAAGCUUCAGUCAUACAGUCUCAUCUGAUGUUGGCAAGCUGAACACCAAAGUUCUGGAGGGCAAAUGAACAGGAGGAAUUUAGAACAUCAGAAGUCUGCAACCCAUGACCCAGCGAUUCCACUUCUAGAAUUCAACCUAAGGGAAUAAAUAAGGACACACACUAAAAUUUAGGAUUUUCACUGCAACGUUUAGCAUGAGAACCAGAAAGAACAUACAGAAGUCAGUGAGUUGAAUCAGAGUAAAUAACAGAGCACCUCCUGUCCAUUCCCAGGAAGUGGGGUGUGCAGCGACAUGGACAGAUAUGCACAAAACAUCACUGAGAGAAAACAAGCAGAUGACAAAACAUCAGGGUUUCCACUUCUGGACUACUGUGAAUAACACUGCUCUGGGCACUCCUGUCUGAGUUUCUGGAAUAAGCUUCCCUAUGGACACAGGUCUUCAAGUCUCUUGGGUAUGUGCCUGGGGGAGGAACUGGCCCGGCCUUGGUUGACUCUGGGUGUAACUGUUAAGAGAAACUGCCAGCCUGCUUUCCAGAGACGGACUCAGCAGCCUCUGGGAGUCCCCAUUUCCUGCGACUGACCUCUUCAUCACAGACUCUUACAGGGUUAGUUGACAUCUCCCUGAGGACUACUAUGUCAAGCAUUUUUUUCAUGUGCUUAUUAGUCAUUUGCAUAUCUUCUUUGGAGAAAUGUCAAUUCAGAUUCUUUGCCCAUCUUUUAACUGUCCUUUGUUUUUCUUUUUUUCUUUUUUUGCUUGCUGGAGACCAAUCAUAGGGCCUUCCCCAUGCUAAGCAACUGUUCUACCACUAAGACCUAAUUUGUUUUUUUAUUAGGACCUAUUAAAUUUAAAAUGUGAGGCCAAGUGUGGUGGCAUAUGCCUGUAAGUGACUGGAAGCUGAGGCAGGAGGAUAGCCUACAGAUGUAGCUCAGGGGUACAGUGUCCCCCCAACUCCCAUCCCAUCACCAGUACCAAAAAAAAAAGUUCCAAGUGCUAAUGAGUGCUACUCCCUCUUUUAAACAUUUCCCCACAAUAUGUAAAGAUCAUUUUCAAAAUCAUUACAGGAAUAGGAGUUGCUUUUAACUCACCACUGUACCCCUAAUGCCCAAGGCUCCAUUCAACACUUGGCAUCGAUGGAUGUUCAAAGAAAAUGAAUUAACUAAAUAAAUGAAGAACAGUUAUUUCUGUGUAAAAGAAAAUUCUGUUGUAAUUUAUAUUUCAGUGAUGAUUCCUCAUUUGCUGUCACAAAAUUAUAAGCUAAUAAACUGGAUCACUUACAUGGUUCAGAAAAUACUGCACGAUUAUCUCAUGGCCAGCAGCAGCUGCUUCCAUCAAAGGAGUAAAUCCAUAAACUGGCUCCCUACAAGAUGGGCCAUAGGCAGGUGAUUAGCAGAGAGAAGUUCUCCAUGCAAAAGCUCCCCUGCCGAAGACAAAAGCAAGCCAAGACCCAACUGUAGACACAGUGGGUGUGUGUUCCCACUCAAGUGGCACACAGGCACUGUCUCAAGAGAUGGCUAGCUACGAUGGGGCACGCCUGUGAGCCCGCAAUUCACGGGGCUGGUGCAGAGGAUCACAAGUUCAAAGCCAGUUUCAGCAACUCAGCGUGGCACUAAGCAACAUGGUGAGACCCUGUCUCUAAAUAAAUAUAAAAAGAGCCGGGGAUGAGUCUUAAUAGUAAGGUACCCACCCCCCAAAGAAACUAACAAGGUGAGAUUAAAGUGAACGUGACGCAUGAGUUUCAUUAACUCCCCUGGAUCCACUGCCUCUCAUCCUCCCUCCUCUAAAGCUGUUCUCACCUACUUCUCCUACACUCCCACUUUAAUCAUGGUCAACAAGCAGCUCCUGCUCUUUACCCCCCAGAAAGCUGUCUCCCUCUUAUCUACCCGAAUCCCAACUUCUGAAUGUGACAUCCUCACAAAAUGCUCAAGGCCCUCGCCUGCCCUUCCGUGCUUAGGACCCACUGGCAGCUUAUUUUGUGUCGUCAUUGUUAUCCUACAUUUCCUGCUGGUCUAGAAGCCAGGAUCCAUGCUAAAUGCUGCUUCUCAUCCGUUCUAAAAUACACAUUUUU